GUUUUGUGAGAUGACAUGUAAUAUUACAUCGGAUGCUGAGAAUGAGUUAUAUGGUUUGAAAUGAAUUGGUGUGUUAUGUGUUUCAUGUAUUUUAUUAUCCAUUGUGUAGGAGUUUAAGUAUCAAAGUGAUUUGCAUAUCAUUAACGCAAGCAUUUAGUGUUUUUACAAAAGGUGAAAUGCUGUCCAGCCGGCUAGAAUGAAACAAUUGUAUGCUAUCGCUCCUGGAGCAAGAAAAGCGCUUGUUACAUCCCACGUGAAAGGGGCCCUGCAAACUUCUGCUGUUCAAAUCGUGGCUCCACAUUUCCAUUUGCAAAUUGAUUAAUCCUGAAAGUCAUUAUUUUACUGAUAAAAAGGAUUGAAUGGACAAGAUGUCUCUCCAUCAUAAAGGAGUUCUAAUAGGGGAGUAUUGUCCAGCUCAGAGUUAACUCUACUUUUAAAGUAUAUUGCAUUGUUUGUGUCAAAGUAAGAUUCAUCUAGUAUGCCUCAUUGAUUAUGGGGUAAUAAUAAAAUGGUAU
rnacentral:lncRNA from 1 species